rnacentral:rRNA from 1 species
AUUGAACGCUGGCGGCAGGCCUAACACAUGCAAGUCGAACGGUAACAGGAAGAAGCUUGCUUCUUUGCUGACGAGUGGCGGACGGGUGAGUAAUGUCUGGGAAACUGCCUGAUGGAGGGGGAUAACUACUGGAAACGGUAGCUACUACCGCAUAACGUCGCAAGACCAAAGAGGGGGACCUUCGGGCCUCUUGCCAUCGGAUGUUCCCAGAUGGGAUUAGCUAGUAGGUGGGGUAACGGCUCACCUAGGCGACGAUCCCUAGCUGGUCUGAGAGGAUGACCAGCCACACUGGAACUGAGACACGGUCCAGACUCCUACGGGAGGAAGCAGUGGGGAAUAUUGCACAAUGGGGGAAAGCCUGAUGCAGCAAUGCCGCGUGUAUGAAGAAGGCCUUCGGGUUGUAAAGUACUUUAAGCGGGGAGGAAGGGAGUAAAGUUAAUACCUGUGCUCAUUGACGUUACCCGAAGAAGAAGCACCGGCUAACUCCGUG